GUAUAACGACUGCCGCUAAUAACUUUCCCUCCUCUUUCAUUUUCCCACUCUCUUCCCGCCUUCUCUCUCUCUCUCUCACUUUUCUACUAUCCAUACCGGUGGAGUUUGUCUUAGAUUUCCACCGAGUAGAACCAAUCGGUGACUUCAAUGUUAGUGGUUGAUUCAGUCUUUCACCACAGCAUUGAACCAAUGCCUCGAAGGACAAAUUAGAGGUGCUGAUCCAACUGUGUCUUUAGAGACGGUGAUGAACCAUUUACAGGUGGUGGUUUUGGUUCAAUUCCGGAAAUGAGUAGAAGGAACCUUAUAUGGGUGGUUACUAAAAUGCAGGUUGUUGUGGAACGUUAUCCUACUUGUGUGUGGGUGAUGAUGAAUAAGCAAACAAGAAAGUUAUCUAAAAUUCCAGAGGAGGUCAGAGGGGAGAUAGAACCUUAUUAUAUUGACUCUGCUCCACUGAGUGAAAGACAAUGUUAAUGCCAUGAGUCCUAUGACCAAUAAAGGGGAGCUAGCAUGUUAGAUAAGAAUCAAGAGUGGUAUGCCAUUGCUAGAAAGGAGAAAAUACAGUACCAUGUGGAAGCCUAUGAGACACGAGUUGCAGAGGAUAAAUAGAAGCUUAUGGUGUCAAUCUCCAUUGAUGAAGAACUUAAAUCAAAGGUAUCUUCUCCAAGACGAGAAUGGGGGUCAAGCUGGUGGCAACAGUACUCCAUCCUAUUCUAGAGAGGCCUGAAAGAAAGGCGCCAUGAUUAUUUGAGUUGGUUGAGAAUUACUCAAGUUCUUGCUACUGCAACUAUCUUGGGUUUGCUGUGGUGGCGAUCAGAUUCUAACACCAUGAAAGGGAUGCAAGAUUCUAACACCAUUUAUUUUUUGUUUAACAUGAUGAAUAUAUAAUAWUAGGCAUAUGCCCAGUUUUUUCUAUGAGUUUUCUCCAUAUUUAUAGUGAGAGACUGUUGAUAAUGACUGAAGUGGUUGACCUGAAUUACUUAUUGCAUUAUCUUAUAGUGGGUAAAAUAAUUAAGGAGCUCACAAUCUCCUUAAUCACUUAUUCACCAAAAAAAAAAAAAAAACAAUUAGUGAUUCACCUCAGCCACUUCAGAUGCUAUCAAAUAGCCCCUAAGUCUGAAGUUUGAUGGAUUUCAAACUCUGGAUUUUUUUUUUUUCUUUUUUAUUAAAUUUUGAUGUUGGAUCCCUCUGUCUUUAGUUAACUGAUCUUUCUGGAGUUGAAGGCAUUCACUUUCUGGAGUUGAAGGCAUUCACUUUCUGGAGUUGAAGGCAUUCAAACUUUCUGUUUGAAUAAGGAAAGUAGCUAUUUCCGAUUUUGGGGUGCAACUUGGCUGGGCCUGGAUUGAGCAUUUGUUAAAUUUUGAAAGGGCCCAGGCCCAAUGCUGCCUGAUGCUGUAGAAAAUUUCCAAACAGGAUGAUGAUAUGUUUGGAGGAAAUGACGAAGACAAGGUGCUAAUGGGGUUUCUUGAUGAAUCCAAAGAUCAGGUAAUGUCAGAGAGCAGCAUACCUUUGUCUCCACAAUGGCUUUAUGUCAAAACAAGUGAGACUAAGACAGGACCUUCCAGCCCAUCGGGGGAGUCUGAGAAUUGGCAGUUGGAAGAAGCCAACUGCACUCCUCUAUUCUUUUCAUUUUUCUGGGGGCAUGUGAUCAUGAGAGGAGAGGAGAGGAAUGCAGGAGCCUCAAAUCAAUUGAAGAUCUGCAGCUUGCAAUGAAGAUCAAUUUCUCGACCUUACUUCUCGUUUGAGUGGCUAGUGAUCAUGAGAGGAGAGGAAUGCAGGAGCCUCAAAUCAAUUGAAGAGGUCGAAUUAACAGAUCUGCAGCUUGGUUGACAUUCUCUGCUGCAACAUCACCAGAUCCCAAGUCUAAAUUAAAUCACACUGCUGGUUAGUGGUUACAAAGAAGUGGGAAGGCAAAAUAUAUUUCAAAGCCGUUGAAUKGAGAAAGGACUAGUAUUCAAGCUUAAAAUCUCUGGUUUUCAAAGUGACCUGCAGGGAAAGCACAUUGACAUUGAAUCAAUCUCUUCAACUCGAUCAAUUUGCAAAUUAAGCAUCUACUUUGCCACUCCAAUGCAUAUAUAAAUUUACUUUUGUACAUGACCAAGGA